rnacentral:rRNA from 1 species
UUCGCCCUUAGAGUUUGAUCCUGGCUCAGGACGAACGCUGGCGGCGCGCCUAACACAUGCAAGUCGAACGAGAGAGAGGGAGCUUGCUUCCUCAAUCGAGUGGCGAACGGGUGAGUAACGCGUGAGGAACCUGCCUCAAAGAGGGGGACAACAGUUGGAAACGACUGCUAAUACCGCAUAAGCCCACAGGUCGGCAUCGACCAGAGGGAAAAGGAGCAAUCCGCUUUGAGAUGGCCUCGCGUCCGAUUAGCUAGUUGGUGAGGUAACGGCCCACCAAGGCAACGAUCGGUAGCCGGACUGAGAGGUUGAACGGCCACAUUGGGACUGAGACACGGCCCAGACUCCUACGGGAGGCAGCAGUGGGGAAUAUUGCACAAUGGGGGAAACCCUGAUGCAGCGACGCCGCGUGGAGGAAGAAGGUCUUCGGAUUGUAAACUCCUGUUGUUGAGGAAGAUAAUGACGGUACUCAACAAGGAAGUGACGGCUAACUACGUGCCAGCAGCCGCGGUAAAACGUAGGUCACAAGCGUUGUCCGGAAUUACUGGGUGUAAAGGGAGCGCAGGCGGGAAGACAAGUUGGAAGUGAAAUCUAUGGGCUCAACCCAUAAACUGCUUUCAAAACUGUUUUUCUUGAGUAGUGCAGAGGUAGGCGGAAUUCCCGGUGUAGCGGUGGAAUGCGUAGAUAUCGGGAGGAACACCAGUGGCGAAGGCGGCCUACUGGGCACCAACUGACGCUGAGGCUCGAAAGUGUGGGUAGCAAACAGGAUUAGAUACCCUGGUAGUCCACACCGUAAACGAUGAUUACUAGGUGUGGGAGGAUUGACCCCUUCAGUGCCGCAGUUAACACAAAUAAGUAAUCCACCUGGGGAGUACGACCGCAAGGUUGAAACUCAAAGGAAUUGACGGGGGCCCGCACAAGCAGUGGAGUAUGUGGUUUAAUUCGACGCAACGCGAAGAACCUUACCAAGUCUUGACAUCCUGCGACGAUGCUGGAAACAGUAUUUUCCUUCGGGACGCAGAGACAGGUGGUGCAUGGUUGUCGUCAGCUCGUGUCGUGAGAUGUUGGGUUAAGUCCCGCAACGAGCGCAACCCUUACUGUCAGUUACUACGCAAGAGGACUCUGGCAGGACUGCCGUUGACAAAACGGAGGAAGGUGGGGAUGACGUCAAAUCAUCAUGCCCUUUAUGACUUGGGCUACACACGUACUACAAUGGCGUUAAACAAAGAGAAGCAAGACCGCGAGGUGGAGCAAAACUCAGAAACAACGUCCCAGUUCGGACUGCAGGCUGCAACUCGCCUGCACGAAGUCGGAAUUGCUAGUAAUCGUGGAUCAGCAUGCCACGGUGAAUACGUUCCCGGGCCUUGUACUCACCGCCCGUCA